AGUCGGACCUGCCCGGUGAAAAUUUUUAACGGCCGCGGUACUCUGACCGUGCAAAGGUAGCAUAAUCAUUUGCCUUAUAAUUGAAGGCUAGUAUGAAUGGUUUGACAAGAAUAUAGCUGUCUCUUUCUGACUAGAUAGAAUUUUAUCUAGAGGUGAAGAAGCCUCUAUUAAAUUAAAAGACAAGAAGACCCUAUCGAGCUUUAAAGAAAUUAAUAGACGNAAAUAAUUUAUANUAUUUAAAAAAUUAGCUAUUAAAAAUUUUAGUUGGGGCGACUGAGGAACAAAAGAAGCUUCCUUUAUNAAUAUAUNAACUAUAUAAGUAUUGAUCCAGAAUAUUUUGAUUAAAGGAAUUAGUUACCGUAGGGAUAACAGCAUUAUCUUUUUUAAGAGUUCUUAUCGAAAAAAAGGUUUGUGACCUCGAUGUUGGACCAGAAUAUCCUAAAGAUGCAGCAGUCUU
rnacentral:rRNA from 1 species